rnacentral:rRNA from 1 species
UACAGAGGUCUCGAGCGUUAGGCGGAAUCACUGGGCUUAAAGCGUGUGUAGGCGGAUCGUUAAGUCUGAUGUGAAAGCCCUGGGCUCAACCUGGGAAUGGCAUUGGAAACUGGCGACCUAGAGUGCGGUAGAGGGUAGUGGAAUUCCCGGUGUAGCAGUGAAAUGCGUAGAGAUCGGGAGGAACAUCUGUGGCGAAGGCGACUGCCUGGACCAGCACUGACACUGAGGCACGAAAGCGUGGGGAGCAAACAGG